CAGUAGCCGCGGGAAAACGUAGGGUGCAAGCGUUAUCCGGAAUUAUUGGGCGUAAAGAGCUCGUAGGCGGUUUGUCGCGUCUGCUGUGAAAACUGGAGGCUCAACCUCCAGCCUGCAGUGGGUACGGGCAGACUAGAGUGCGGUAGGGGAGAUUGGAAUUCCUGGUGUAGCGGUGGAAUGCGCAGAUAUCAGGAGGAACACCGAUGGCGAAGGCAGAUCUCUGGGCCGUAACUGACGCUGAGGUACGAAAGCAUGGGGAGCAAACAGGAUUAGAUACCCCUGUAGUCCCUGUCUCUUAUAC
rnacentral:rRNA from 1 species